AAGUUGUCUCUGUAGUAUAAAAAACAGAGCAGAGUGUUUUUGGGGUUCCUCAGUUGCAGUGAGAUGUGAGGCACUUGCAGAGACUCAGUCCACCACCCUGGGCAGCUUUCACCACCCUGGGCAGCUUUUCCGAGACGUAGGGACUGGCUUGCCGUAAUUCAUAGCUUCUGCUGUCCCUUGCUACAUACCUCCUGUUUGGUCACAAACUAGGAUUGCAGCAUCUGCUUGUAGGCUCAAAAUAAAGGGAUGGAGAAAAAUCGACCAAGCAAAUGGAAAACAGAAAAGAGCAACUUGCUUCCUGAAAAUUCACGCUCCAGCUCCCUGCCACCUCCACAUCUCCCAGUCAGCCUCUUGUUGGCACACUGAAUCACUCUGGGGCCAGAGAAAUUCAAGCCAGCUGCAGAAAUUUGCUUGAGUAGCAAGGAGCCCAAUGUUAAUCCUCAAGACCAUAGGGAAAAUGUCUCCAGGCCAUGUCAGAGACCUUCAUGGCAGCCCCUCCCACCAUAGGCCCAGAGGCCCAGGAGGAAAAAGUGGUUUCAUGGGCCAGGUCCAGGGUCCUUGUGCUGUGUGCAGCCUUAGGACUUGGUGCCCUGUGUCCCAGCCAUUCCAGCCGUGGCUGAAGGGGCCAAUGUAGAGCUCAGGCCAUGGCUUCAGAGGGUGGAAGCCCCAAACCUUGACAGCUUCCACGUGGUGUUGAGCCUUAGGUUGCACAGAAGUCAAGAAUUGAGGUUUGGGAAACUCCAACUGGAUUUCAGAAAAUGUAUGGAUGCCCAGGCAAAAGUUUGCUGCAGGGGCAGGGCCCUCAUGGAGAACCUUUGCUAGAGCAAACUGGAAGGAAGGAAAAUGUGGGUUUGGAGCCCCCACACAGAGUUCCUAGUGGGCACUGCCUAGUGCAGCUAUGAGAAGAGGGCCACCAUCUUUCAGACCCCAGAAUGGUAGAUCCACUGACAGCUUGCACUGUGUUGCUGGAAAAGCUGCAGACACUCAAUGCCAGCCUGUGAAAGCAGCUGGGUGAGGGCUGAAUCCUACAAAGCCAUAGGGGCAGAGCUGCCCAAGACCAUGGGAACCCAUCUCUUGCAUCAGUGUGAUGUGGCUGUGAGACCUGGAGUCAAAGGAGAUCAUUUUGGAGCUUUAAAAUUUGACUGCCUCACUGAACUUCAGACUUGCAUGGGCCCUAUAACCCCUUUGUUUUGGCCUAUCUCUCUUUCGGAAUGGCUGUAUUUACCCAAUACCUGUACUUCCAUUGUAUCUAGGAAGUAACUAGCUUUCUUUUGAUUUUACAGGCUCAUAGGUAGAAGGGACUUGCCUUGUCUCAGAUGAGACUUUUGACUGGAUUUUUGGGUUAAUGCUGAAAUGAGUUAAGAUUUUGGGGGACUGUUGGGAAGGCAUGAUUAGUUUUGAAAAGUGAGGACACGAGAUUUGGAGGGGCCAGGGGCAGAAUGAUGUGGUUUGGCUGUGUCCCCACCCAAAUCUCAACUUGAAUUUUAUCUCCCAGAAUUCCCACAUGUUGUGGGAGGGGUCCAGGGGGAGGUAAUUGAAUCAUGGGGGCCAGGCCUUCCCAUGCUAUUCUUGUGAUAGUGAAUAAGUCUCACGAGAUCUAAUGGGUUUAUCAGGGGUUUCCGCUUUUGCUUCUUCCUCAUUUUUCUCUUGCCACCACCAUAUAAAAAGUGCCUUUCACCUCCUGCCAUGAUUCUGACACCUCCCCAGCCAUGUGGAACUGUAAGUGCAAUUAAACCUCUUUUGGUUCCCAGUUUUGAGUGUGUCUUUAUCAGCAGUGUGAAAAUGAACUAAUAUACCAAGCUAUCACAUCACUGAGUGUGAUGGGCCAUCAGCACUGCUGUGAUGUCCUGCAAAAGUGGAAUUAUUUCUUGACUUGACCUCACUCUUAUGUACUUGAGAAGCUGAGUUCUCUUCUCGCAUGUUCUAAUAAACAAGUCUUAUAAGUCUGGCUCUGGUUAGCCCACAUGUUGAACCUCUUACUUGCAACCCCACUGAUGUGUCUCCCCUAUGCCUGGACAUAAGAGCCUCUCAAUCUCACAUUCAUCCAACAGCAUCUCUAGGUGUAUACUCACUUGUAGCCAAAGUAAAUUUUACACCAUGAUAAAAAUUAGUGUAAAGACUUUACAGGGAACCAAAGUGCCUGGGAAUUCUGAUGAGUAACUACUGAGUGGUUUUUUUUAAUCUCUUUAUUCAAUAGACGUAAAAGUUUAACAAUUGAAGAUUUUAGGUGCCUCGCUUUUACAUUAUGAUUUUUAACUAGUGCAUGCACAAAUAUGCUUUGGCACACAAUACCCUUUCCAGAGCCAUCAAGAUUUAAGUCAUAUUUUUAAGGACAGUGUUAAAAUGUUUACAG
rnacentral:lncRNA from 1 species